GGAGUGGGCCGGAUGAUCGCUGGCCGGAGAAUAUGUCGAGGUGCUUUCGAGCGCAGCGGCUUUUUUUGGCGGGAGGAAAGUCCGGGCUCCGUAGGGUUCAGUGGUGGGUAACGCCCACCGGCCGCAAGGUCAGGGAAAGUGCCACAGAAAGCAAACCGCCUGCGGGGUCAUUCCCGUCGGUAAGGGUGAAACGGUGAGGUAAGAGCUCACCAGCAGGCCGGGCGACCGGUCUGGCUCGGUAAACCCCACUGGGAGUAAGGCCAAGCAGGAAGAAGUUCGGCCCUUCGGUCCGACGCGAAACGGCCCGUUUCGCACCCACUUCCGGGUCGGCUGCUGGAGGCGUCGGGUAACCGGCGUCCUAGAGAAAUGGUCAUCGCUUUGCGUGCUGUUCAAAGACGCAAAGCACAGAACCCGGCUUACAGGCCCGCUCCAGUC
rnacentral:RNase_P_RNA from 1 species